GCUCGAGUGGCGAACGGGUGAGUAACACGUGGGUGAUCUGCCCUGCACUUCGGGAUAAGCCUGGGAAACUGGGUCUAAUACCGGAUAGGAGCCAUUUUUAGUGUGAUGGUUGGAAAGUUUUUCGGUGUAGGAUGAGCUCGCGGCCUAUCAGCUUGUUGGUGGGGUAAUGGCCUACCAAGGCGUCGACGGGUAGCCGGCCUGAGAGGGUGUACGGCCACAUUGGGACUGAGAUACGGCCCAG
rnacentral:rRNA from 1 species